ACAAGUGGCAUGAGGAGAGCAAGGGGUUAGGUGAGGACCACAUGGGAGGACCACACCUCCCUUGCUCCCUAAGCCAAACUCUCACAACACAACUGAGCCAAUAGGCGCACGCCAGCUGGCGCCUUGGCUGGGUUUGCCAGCCAGCCCGCACGCAUGCACGCAUAGCCAGCAAGCCUCGCACGCAAUGCGGGCUGCUGCUGCUGCGUUGCUUGUGCUAGCUGAGCCCAACUAGAUGUUGCGUCCAUGCGCAAGGCUCAGCGAGCAUUUGCUUGUUGUUGGCCUUGCGAUGGUGCGGGGCUGGCUGCUGGCUUGCCUAGCAAGCGCGACUAGCCAUGCUGGCCUUGCGAUAUGCGCAAGGCAUGCUUGGCCAGCAUGCUCGGCCAUGCUAAGCAUGCUGAGCUUGCGGUCGAGCCUUGCCUUGCGGCAAUGGCCUUGGCCAUCCUAGCCCUCGAUCGGCUAGGCCAUUUUGAGGCUAGGAUUUUCCCCCGUGCAAUGACUUGUUGUUUGGACGAUUUUUCUGUCUCGUCGAUUCCUAAAUUUGACUCAGCUUAUGAUGUUCGGCUUCGAUGCUCUAAGCUCGGAAUCCGACGUCUUUGUUCGUAAAUACUCGAUUGAUUCAUUUAAUCCUUCGGAUUAAUUCGUCUUUUUGGUUCGGUACACGAUUAGGUGUGACACGAAAGGUUUAGUCAAGAUUAAGCUGUAAUAUCAAUUAUUCAUUAAUAUUACUAAUCGGAAGCGACCUCCACCUAGGUAUUCCGAUCACUUGACCUCACUGAAUAAUUAGCUUUCUAAUUUAUUCCGAGCCCUCUAUCGAAAUGAUACACUUGUUCGAAGGACACCAUUCUUUUCAGCUUCCCCCUCUUAGAGAGGUAGAAGUUGUUUUCGUCCUCGGCUGGGACGGUGCAGUACAUUCGGGGUAGGUGAGGCGACUGUGUACGUUCCCCUCCCUAGGGAUGAUACGUUCGUGAACGUUUCGGCGAGCAUACUCUUGCCGCGUGGAUGCGGUGUUGCUGCUUUUGAAGCUACGGGGUUCGGACCACUCGAAGAAUUGUGGGUUUCUUUUUCUUUCCCGUUUAGUUCUCCAAGUAUCUUCGUCCAAAUGCUCGAACUCCUUGAAAGACGGAUUCGCUCUCCUUCUUCUUGCCCUAUUCUCCUCCUUAGGUACCUUGACUGCUCUAUGGAGCCAGCGUGUACCGAGGGAGCAGGAGGUGGGAGAUGCUGAUUCGCUUGAGCCUUCAUGAAUCCAUGAGGGUAGCGAGGGCUCUUGCCAUUUCCUCCGAAGUGGGACCCGUUUUGGGGUGUCCCCAUUGGGCGAGAUUGGGAAUGGCGGCUAGGAGUUGGACUCCUAGCAUUUGACUGGCUCGGCCGCCAAGAGUUGGACGGUUGACCCAUGUUGCGAGAUGACCUGUCCGAGGUAGCGUUCCCCGACGAGGUAGCCUCGGAAGAUGAUGAAGAAGGUGGUCCCUUCUUCGAGGGUGAAGAUGGAGUUGGGACCUUCUUCGAGGAAAAAGGACCAUUCUUUUUGGUGCUCUUGGCACUCUUUCCGCUCUUAGUCAUGUUGCUAAGAUGGUGGAUUUUUGGCUUGUUUUUUAAUGUCUUCCCCACAGACGGGGCCAAAUUAUUUCGGAUGAAAACAAUAGGUCUUUCGUCUGGACCUUACUUGUGGGCUGAAGACUGGACUCAGACCAAGUGAUGACUGGAACGAGGGUUUUCUGCACAGCAAACACACGUAAACUGGUCUCGGGGGUUGUGCCGAAGAAGGCCCCUCCGAUGCCGAAGUCAGUACAAUGUUUAGAGAGAGAAAGCUAUGCAAGAGAGUUAAUGUUUGAGAUUUGAAGUGAAUGAAUUGAGAGAGAGAAGUCAUGGCUUUUAUACCUUAUUCAAAUGGAUAAAUUGGGCCUUGAGGUCAAAUGAGCUUGCCAUGUUGAACGGGCCUUUGACUGACUUGGCAUAUAUUAGGAGAAUUUAAACCUUCUUUUGAGCUUUGUAAUUGAAUCAUCUGUGGACCAGCCCAGUUGGAGUAAAUUGAACCCAAACACUUAUAAUUUGGGAUUCACAACUAGGUCAGUUCUAUCAAUUUCUAAAUCUAUUUCAACUUAAUUUAGGGUUAUCAAUUUUUUUAAAAAUUAGUAUUGUUGAUUAUUUUAGUAGCAGUGAAGAGUAAAUAAUUUGGAGCAUUUAUAAAGAAUUUAAUCAGACGCUUGUUACAUUUGAAUUUUCAGCUUCGCUUGAUCUGUUUGCUAAUGAUCCAGUUUCGGUGGCUCGUACUUGUAAUUGUAUGUACUGUUUGUUGCAACUGAGGCAACGUGAUAUUGAAUUCUGAGAAUCGGUAAAUGAGCAAAGAUAGUGGUAUGAAUUGCUAAAUUAGAAUGUUUUGUAGCUUGUUCUAUAUCACAAUAUUAGACCACUCACUUUUUAAACUUCAUUUCAUUUGUGUUCUUCUAUACGAGUAAUUUAUUGUGAAUGUUUUUAUUCGCUUAAAAUAGGCAUAUAUUUUUCUCAGAUUUUAAAUCUAGGUUUACUUAUUAUGGGUUUUGUUCUUUCUCAAGGUUUACUUAUUAUGGGUUUUGUUCUUUCUCAAGGUUUAUUUGAGGAAAGUUGUAAUUUUUGCUAAUUGAGAUUUUUUUUUGGAGAUUUAACUGAAUUAGUGAGUUUAAUUCAUUAAUUCAGAAAAGCGUAUACUACGUAAAUUUUCUAAGGUUUAUUUCUUCAAUUUACUUAUGUAGUACUAAUCAAGAAAACCUAUUCGUAUAAAUUAAUGAUGAAAUAAUUAGAAAUUGAUCAGGAGGAAGAGGAAAAUGAUCUAUUCUUUAAAUCAUAAGUAUGUGAUUUUGGAGAUGACAGUAGAAAAUUAAUGAAAAUUUAGACUGAAAUUAGUGAGAUAGGAAGGCAGAGAAGAUCAAAGAGAUGGAAGAAAUUUGAACGCCGGAAAAAAUGUGGUAAUUGUGGAUCACGCGCUUAAUGAAUGUAGGUUAGUCAUUAAAAAAAAAAAAAAAA